rnacentral:tRNA from 1 species
GAGGUUGUGGCUCAGUCGUAGAGCACUUGCCUAACAUGUCUGAGAUGCUGGGUUCAAUCCUCAGCACCACA